UCCUCCCUCCCCGCCGUCCCCACCCCCUCCCCCGGGCUCCCGUGCGGUGCCCUGAGAGCUGGAGGCUGACGUCAGGGGCCUGAAUUCCUGACUUUGCCUGCACGCAUUUGCCCAUGUAAGCCUCGCCCCGGAUGCCUGGCGACACUCGGGACCUACCGGACGCGGAGCCGGCCGAGGUCGACCUCCCAGCCCGCCCACCUGACCGGGACGGAGCCGAAGCCCGGGAAGACGAAUGACUCGCCCAGGGGCACACACCGCGCAGAUCGCUCAGCCUCCGGCCUCGUUCCCGCCGCUGCCGCCGGGCCGGGCCGGGCCGGGCCGGGCCGGGCCCAGGCUCCCCUAGACCCACUGAGCUGUCGGGGGCGGGGGGGAAACAGGCCACCUGUCCUUAGGCCCAUGCGGACCACCCAGUGAAGAGCCUUCUAGCUUCUCUUGGCCCCCCAGCCCGUUCCUGGAAGGGUCUGACUGACAGCCCUGAGUGGCGGGGACCUUCAGUUGCUUCGGGGCAUCUUUCUCCGUCCUGCACUCACAGGAACCCCAGCAGUUUAACAUUCACUUCCCAGCCUGGUCCGGAAGCCCAGAAAGCUUGCUGUGUACUGAACUGAUAGCUUAAAAAAAAAAAAAAAAAAACUGUAAACUGGGUGAACUGGUUUGAAUAGAGGCAAGCCUGUUCUUGGAA